rnacentral:lncRNA from 11 species
AUGGCCUCUGCGGGUCCCUUCCAUUUCUAUGAAUGUGCAAAUAAGAGCAUGCAGCGGAGGUCGAAAGCAGAAGUGGACUCUGCCAGCAAAGUAGCGGAGAGCUUUAGCGGAAGCGAGAAAAGCUCUGAGAGGGAAAGGACACUGAAAAUAGAGAACUUGCUGAAGAAGGUGCUGGUGGAAAACCAGCAGCUGAAAAACGCAGUCAUCUUACUGAAGCAGCAAAACAAAGGAAGAGAUAACAGCUCAGAAGACUGCAAGAGGUCGAAAGAAAAACUCCUGACCGAAAUUGGGUCUCUCUUGACCGAAAUUGCUUUUCUGAAGGAAGUGCGGGAACAGCUGCGGUACCAGGACCCGGACACCCGGAGGGAGGCCACCAAGGCGCUGACUGAGAGCAUCCAAGCCAAGCUGGAGGUGGCCCAGGCCAAGAUCGAGGCGGCCGAGGCCAAAAAGGAGACCCUGGAGGCCCACCGGAAGGCGGCCGAGGCCAAGGAGACGGCCGAGGCGGCCCAGGCCCGGGAGGAGAGCCUCCUCUCCUACAUCUCCCGCAUCGCCAGCCUGGCCUAUCAGCAGGCGGCCGAGGCCGAGCACGACUGCGCCCAAGCGCGCCAGGUCAUGGCGACUGCAGAGGCCGUGCAGGCGGCCGCCUUCUCCGAGAGCAAGCUCCGCCGGGGCCACAAGCACCACCACCACCACCACCACCGCAGCAGCGGCCACUGGAGCCACGGAGAGUGCCGGUGCCACCACAACCACCACCAUCACCACCACCCUCCGAGCCACCAGGAGGCACCGAGGAGCCGCUACGAAUCCCAAAGCGAGCCGCCCCACUCUGAACCGGAGACCCUGAGCAGCAGCCGAUGAGGACGGGAUGGAGCCGGAGGAGAGGGAUAACUGACAGGUGGCCCAUGCCGCUGUUUUGGGAGCAUGGCACAGGAUUAAAAUAUCUUUGAAUAUUUUUUUUUGCAUCCUAUGCAUAUGUAAACUGGGACACACAUGCGCACACCAUGUUCACAUGAAGUCAGUUUUAUGUCUCAUUCCAACCAACACCUCCAAUGCAGUGUGUAGUUAGCACUAUGCAUUGCUAUGUAUAUUUAUCCAUAACUAUUAUCCAUAAAUUUAUCCAGGAGCCUCCUGUGGCCUAGGGGAUAAAAGCCUUGUGAGUUGAAGGUUGGGUUGCUGACCUGAAGGCUGCCAGGUUCGAAUCCCACCCGGGGAGAGUGCGGAUGAGCUCCCUCAACAGCUCCAGCUCCAUGCGGGGACAUGAGAGAAGCCUCCCACAAGGAUGGUAAAACAUCAUAACAUCCGGGCAAUGUCCCCUGGGCAACGUCCUUGCAGACAGCCAAUUCUCUCACUCCAGAAGCAACUCCGGUUGCUCCUGACACGAAAAAAAUAUAUCCAUAAAUAUACAUAAACAAAAUGUUAUGCAUUAUGAAUGUGCAAGUUAAUGCACACACCGGCCAUGUUGACAUACACACCAAUUGUAUGUCUCAUUCCAACAUGUGGUUUGCGCUGUGCAUUGUUAUGUGUUAAUAUGCAUAAUUAUAAUAAGUAUUAUCCAUGAACAAAUAUUAUGUAUUAUGAACAUGCAAGUUAACACAUAUACCUGCCAUAUGGUUGCAUUUGAACGUUAUAUGCACACAUAUGUAUAGGCUAAAAGUUAAUCCGUUCUAUUUACAGUAGAGUUCUGGUUAUCCGACAUAAACAGGCAGGCCAAAUGUCAGAUAACUGAAACUGUUGGAUAAUAGGGAGGCCCUAUUAUCCCUCCCGACAAGCUGGAUGC